AGUGAACGCUGGCGGCGUGCCUAACACAUGCAAGUCGAACGGGCUAGUGCUUCGCACUAGUCUCUUUCUGGGGUUGUUACUCUAAGGCUACCUGCUAAAGUUAUUGCUUUAAAGCAGGGGUUUUAGGAGACUUUCCCCGAAAGGGGCCAGUGCGGAGCACUGGCCAGUGGCGAACGGGUGAGUAACACGUGGGUAAUCUACCCUCGAGUGGGGAAUAAGCUUCCGAAAGGGGGUCUAAUGCCGCAUAAACGUUUCAUAACGAUGGUUAUGAAACCAAAGCCCAAAAGGCGCUCGAGGAGGAGCCUGCGCCCUAUCAGCUUGUUGGCAGGGUAAUGGCCUACCAAGGCUAUGACGGGUAGCCGGCCUGAGAGGGUGUCCGGCCACACUGGAACUGAGACACGGUCCAGACUCCUACGGGAGGCAGCAGUGGGAAUUUUGGACAAUGGGCGCAAGCCUGAUCCAGCCAUGCCGCGUGAGUGAAGAAGGCCUUGGUGUAACU
rnacentral:rRNA from 1 species